UACGUAGGGGGCAAGCGUUGUCCGGAAUCAUUGGGCGUAAAGCGCACGUAGGCGGUUCGCUAAGUCGGAUGUGAAAGCCCUCGGCUCAACUGAGGAAGUGCACCCGAAACUGGCGAGCUUGAGUACGAAAGAGGAUCGCGGAAUUCCCGGUGUAGAGGUGAAAUUCGUAGAUAUCGGGAGGAACACCGGCGGCGAAGGCGGUUCUCUGGGCAUGAUCUGACGCUGAGGAGCGAAAGUGUGGGGAGCGAACAGG
rnacentral:rRNA from 1 species